rnacentral:lncRNA from 10 species
GCUAAACUCAUUCAAGCCCAGACUAGGUGUCAUCUGGAUAAAGAAAAUGUGGUACAUAUACACCAUGGAAUACUUUGCAGCCAUAAAAAGAACGAGAUCAUAUCCUUUGCAGGCACGAUCUCGGCUCACCGCAGCCUCUGCCUCUUGGGUUCAAGCGAUACUCCUGCCAUGAAUGGACCUGGAAGCCAUUAUCCUCAGCAAACUAACACAGGAACAAAAAACCAAACACUGCAUGUUCUCACUUAUAAGUGGGAGCUGAAUGAUGAAAACACAAGGACACAUGGUGGAGAACAACACACACUGGGGCUUGUUGUGGGGGUGUGGGAGGAGGGAGCACAUCAGGAAGAAUAGCUAACAGAUGCUGGGCUUAAUACCUGAGUGAUGGGAUGUUCUGUGCAGCAAACCACCAUGGCACAUGUUUACAUAUGUAACAAACCUGCACAUUCGGAACAUGUACCCCUGAACUUAAAAGUUGGGGAACAAAAAGUCAGUCAUGUUAUACUGUCCUGAUUAAGCUCCUAUCAAUAUUUACUUUAUAAGAUUCAUAUGCCUUUUUUUUUUUUAUAAAGGGAGAGCAAGUUUAUUAAGAAAGUAAGGAGAUAAAGGAAUGGCUACUCCACAGACGGAGCAGUGGCCUGGGCUGCUCUACUGAAUAUACUUAUAGUUAUUUCUUGAUUAUAUGAUAAACAAGGGAUGGAUUAUUCAUGAGUUUUCUGGGAAAAGGGUGGGCAAUUCCCAGAAAUGAGGGUUCCUCCCUUUUUUAGAUCACAUAGGGUAACUUCCUGAUGUUGCCAUGGCAUUUGUAAACUGCCGUGGUGGUGGUGGGAGUGUCUUUUAGCAUGCUAAUGCUUAUAUUAAUAAUUAGCUUAUAAUGAGCAGUGAGGAUGACUGGAGGUCACUUUCAUCGCCAUCUUGGUUUUGGUAGGUUUUGGCCAGGUUCUUUACCUCAUGCUGUUUUAUCAGCAGGAUCUUUGUGACUUGUAAAUUGUGCUGACAUCCUAUCUCAUUCCAUGGCUAAGAAUGCCUGACCUCCUGGGAAUGCAGCCCAAUAGGUCUCAGCCUUAUUUUUCCCAGUCCCUAUUCAAGAUGGAGUUGCUCUGGUUCAAAUGCCUUUGACAUAUUUCUGUUUCACAAGGGUACCCUUAAUCCUAAGGGUUGUAGAGGGAUGAAGAUCCAUCUUCUGUAAUUUCUUCACGCUGAAUAGGGGCGGUGAUAUUCCUGCCUAACUAUUAGGGCAUCUUGUAGCCAGGGUAAAGAGGAGCUCAGUCAGAAAGCGUCAGUAUGCUGAGGGCCAUUUAUAACUCUGAGUUCUGACAGAAGGUGUUAUCUGGAAGAUUAGUAAUUGUUCAAUUUAAGAAAACAUUGAGAAAGCUCAUCCUGUAUUCCUAUAUGAAGAGUACAACAGCAAUAGAUUCCACAACAGUAAAGCAAAAUAAGCAAAAUUAUCCCAAGUAAACAAAUUAGAAGGCUUUCCACGAACUGGGCAAUUGUUUAAACCAUGCUGAUUUGGAGUCUCUAGCUGAUUCCAACAUAUGCCCAGAAUUAGAAUACUGAUCCAGAUUUUUACAUUACCCAUCCCUCUUGUUUCUUCUGAGCUGGAGUCAGAGAUUCACUGGUUGAUUCACAGGAAUAAGCAGGGUUAGUCUAAAUUACAGGAAAGAAACCUUAAAAACAACUGAUGACUAGAAUCUAAUAACAGGUGUACCAUAGUUUUCGAAACAGAAUUUUUCUCUCGCCAGUCUCCCAUUUUUACUAAAGACAAAUCAUAAUGGGACUGAUUUGUUUGCAAAAACAAGCUUUAGUCUUAUACUUGGCCUGAUUAUUUGUAUAAAGGGCAGCAAGAACAAUUACUUGGGACAUAGGAUCUUUUUUAAAUUGGCUUUGAUGGAACUAGUUUAGAGAGUUAAAGGAUUGUUUUAAGUUAGAAUAAAUCUGAAGGUUUGAGCAAGUUGUGGAAGGUUUGUGAAAAUUUAAUAUUGUAAAAGAAAUUCUGUGUGAGAACAUAUUGGCUAAAGUUCAGAGGGGUAUUAUUGCUUUAUUUUAUGUAUCUCCCAACAGUAUUAGCUUAAUCUUGGAAGAUAUCAUAUCUAAUCAUCUUUCCAAAAUUGUGCUUUUUAUUCUUCUCCCCAGUGAGCAGAAGAAAAGGCACCUCACCACACAUGACAUUAUUUAAUGCAUGUAGAUUAGAAUAUUCCUUGAAGGUGUGGCUUAAUUAAUCUUUUUAAUACAUGUGUUGCCCACUUCUCAUUACCAUCGAGGUGCUGAACAUUUCAUUUAUCUUCAAUAAGUGGCGAGGGCUAAAACAUGGUAAACAAACAAAAAAAAACUGAGUAAAAUACCUGGGAAAGUUUUUAAAAUAAAAAAAAACUUAAUGAGUGUUUGCCAAUCUGAGAGGCAAAGAAUGCAGAAGGGUGUCUUAUCAAAAACACAUAUUUGGCUGCAAAAGCAUAGAACACACAAAGGCACAACAGUACAGUUUUCCACAGAGACACAGAGAUGGUAAGUCUAUCAUCUCUUCGCUAAAUACACUCUUAAUGGAAAUAAAAACAAGGAUGUGUCUGAGUCAUCUAUUUAGAAUUAAAUAAUGUAGUGUUUAAUUUAGUAUCUAUUUAUAAAAAUUAAGGCUUUUAAAUGAUCCCUAUCAUCAAAGAGUUCUAUACAAAUUUCUCAUCCUUAGGUGUGAAGCUCUCAGAUGAACACACAUUGAAAAUAAUAGUGGCAUAUUAAGAUGACUCGAAAUUACAUAAUAUAAAGCAAAAACUUCUUAUUCAGAAAAAUGUGCUGAACUGUGUUUCUAAGGGUGAAUCAGUGUUGGUCCAAGUGAAUUUACUGAAGUCACUUGUAGCAUUGCCUUGCUCUAUGAGAAAACUUGCAGAUAAAGACUCUUAGAUAUUACAGAGCAUAAAAGGAAUAAGCAUGACUCGCAUUUUUAUACAGGGGAAUGUGUGUUCUUUUAUCUAGGAAAGCAAAUUCUUCUUUUCAUGCAUCCUCAGGUUCUAUAUAAGCUUUUCCCACACUGAGCUCUUUUUUUUCCCCAGUAACCUGUGUCAGACUGAGUGACUUGGCAACUCUAUGCACUUCAGGUGUGGUUCUUGUCUGGGGCCUGGUGAUGAAACCAGUAUCAAGGUUACUGGCAUCCUGCCUGAUUCACUUAGAAGUAGCUCUUGUCUAUACCAAUAUGAAGGUUGAGGUUUCAAUGUGACUGCUUAGAUUUAGAUAUCUAUUUGAACAAUGGUUGAAGGAAGUUCUUUAAAAUGAGACUUUGGAAGAAUUGAGGUUGACUUGAAGACAGAAAACAAAGCUAUUAGUGAUGCACAGAUAGGAUUUUAAACAGUAAAUAUAGGCAUGUCAGUGACUGAUUAUAAAAUCUAAUCACUAACUACUCUUCGUUAAAGGAGAUAAAACCAUUUCAGCUAUGGAUGGCUAGCAAAGAAGUAGGAGUCUCAGUUUUCUACUCUGCUAUAAUUUUUGCCCAAGUUGAACAACUAGUAUUCAUCUUCUAAUAGGAAUAUUCAAAGAGUUCUAGUCGCAGAAGUUUUCAGGCUUUACUGCAUUUGCUGAUGUCCAUUUCACGUAUAUGAUACUUUCUGCCAAACUCUGGUCUUAUUUUUCAAACAGUUUUAUUGAGAUAUAAUUUACAUAUGUUAAACUGCAUGUAUUUAAGGUGUACAAAUUUAACAUCUGUACAACUUAUUAAGCCAUCACCACAACAAAAUAAUGAACAUUUCCAUCAUUUCCAUAUGUUUCCUUGUGUCUCUUCGUAAUCUCUCUUUCCCAUUCCCUUUAGAAAAUCAUUCCUCCUCCCUAGGCAACCACUGAUCUACUUUCUGUGUCUAUAGAUUAGUUUGCAUUUUCUAGGAUUUUAUAAAAAUGGAAUAUAUACAGUGUGUUCUCUUUUUUGUCUUUUUUCACUCAAUAUAUUUUUUUGAGAUCUAUUCAUAUCCUUGCAUGUACCAAUUAUUUUUUAUUGCUAAGUAGUAUUCCAUUGUAUGGAUAUACUUCAAUUUGUUGAUCCAGUCACAUAUUUGGACAUUUGGGUUGUUUUCAGUUUCUGGCUAUUACAGUAAAUUUCUGUAAGCAUCAAUGUAUAUAUUUUGUGUAGUUAGAUGCUUUCAUUUCUCUUGGGUAAAAACUUGGGUAUAGAAUCAUUGGGUCAUAUAGUAGCUGCAUAUUUAAUUUUUUUUAAAAAAAUUGUCAAACUCUUUUCCAAAGGGGUUGUACCAUUUUACGUUCUUAUAAGCACUGUGUGAAAAUUCCUGUUGUUCUCCAUCAUUGCCAACAAUUCGUAUGAUUGGUAAUUUUGAUUUUAACCCAUAUUUUUCUAAUGACUAAUGAUGUUAAGCAUCUGUUCAUGUGCUUGUCAUCCAUUUAUCUUCUUUUGUUUUUCCUAUUUUAAAAACUGGGUUGUUUAUCUUAUUGAGUUGUAAAAAUUGUUUAUAUAUAUUGUUUAUAUAGAUCAAAGGCCUUUUUCAGAAAUGUUUUUCAAAUGUUUCCUCUCAAUGUUAAAGAGUAUUAAAAUUUGAUGAAAUAAAAUAUAAUUUUAUAGUUCAUGUCUUUUUAUAUUUAAGAAAUCUUUGCAAAAACCAAGGGAAUGAAGAUUUUCUCCUAAGUGUUCUAGAAAUUUUAGCUAUUAAUUUAAGGUCCACGACCCGUUUCAAGUUAACAUUUGUAUAGGUUGUAAGGGGGUGGUUGUCAUUUCUUAAUCACAUGGCUAUCCAGUUGCUACAACACCAUUUGUUAAAGAGAUUAUCCUUGCCCCAUUGAAUUGCCUCAGCACCUUUUUUGAAAACUAAUAGACCAUAUAUGUAUGAUAUAUCUCUUGAUUCUUUAUUUCAUUUUAUUGAUCUCAU